GGAAAGGUGGCUGAGUGGUCGAAAGCGGCGGUUUGCUAAACCGUUAUACGAUUUAAUAGUCGUAUCGGGGGUUCGAAUCCCCCCCUUUCCGCCA
rnacentral:tRNA from 1 species